UGACCUCAAAUCAGGUAGGACU
rnacentral:rRNA from 3 species